UACGGGGGGGGCAAGCGUUGUUCGGAAUUACUGGGCGUAAAGGGCGCGUAGGCGGCCUGCUAAGUCGGAUGUGAAAUCCCUCGGCUCAACCGAGGAACUGCAUCCGAUACUGGCGGGCUUGAGUGCGGGAGAGGGAUGUGGAAUUCCAGGUGUAGCGGUGAAAUGCGUAGAUAUCUGGAGGAACACCGGUGGCGAAGGCGGCAACCUGGACCGGUAUUGACGCUGAGGCGCGAAAGCUAGGGGAGCAAACGGG
rnacentral:rRNA from 1 species